rnacentral:rRNA from 1 species
ACACUCCUGCGGGAGGCAGCAGUGGGGAAUAUUGGACAAUGGGCGCAAGCCUGAUCCAGCCAUGCCGCGUGAGUGAUGAAGGCCCUAGGGUUGUAAAGCUCUUUCACCGGUGAAGAUAAUGACGGUAACCGGAGAAGAAGCCCCGGCUAACUUCGUGCCAGCAGCCGCGGUAAUACGAAGGGGGCUAGCGUUGUUCGGAUUCACUGGGCGUAAAGCGCACGUAGGCGGACUAUUAAGUCAGGGGUGAAAUCCCGGGGCUCAACCCCGGAACUGCCUUUGAUACUGGUAGUCUUGAGUUCGAUAGAGGUGAGUGGAAUUCCGAGUGUAGAGGUGAAAUUCGUAGAUAUUCGGAGGAACACCAGUGGCGAAGGCGGCUCACUGGCUCGAUACUGACGCUGAGGUGCGAAAGCGUGGGGAGCAAACAGGAUUAGAAACCCCUGUAGUCCCA